GCCGAGCGCGGGAGGAGCCGGCCCGGCCCGGCGCGGGCACCCGCGGCAUCGCCGCUGCGAGGGGCUUGGUUGUGCUAGGACAGGCGAGGCUGGGCCAGAAGACUUAUGCAGACAGCUGCUCAGCUUUUCUGAAAAAGAAGGGCAGAGCUUGAUGCUGGAAAGGAGAGCUCCUGAAAUGCAGAACCAAGCUAGUUCCCUGAGAAAUACUCCCAUUAAUUUCAGUGAGGAGCAAAGUUUGAGGACGCUGCUGAAGAGCCCAGACCUGCACACAGCUGCAUUUCAGCAGCUGAAGUGCCAGCACUAUCCUGGCUUUAUAUUGAGGUUGUAGAAAUGUUCUGGAACACGUGAUGUGUACACCAUGACUGGAAGGCUGGCUGCUUUGUGGUUCUGGCAAAAAACUGGGCUGACUGCUGUAAAAACAGUGCACUGACACCUUCAAGGGUACACAUAGAGGUGUUGCAUCUUGUCUCCAUCUCCUCUCAUUUUCUCUGCUCCUCUUUGACUCUUUCUUCUGCCUACUCCCAAGCCACUGUCAUUUUCAUUUCCUUCCCUGCUGCCUUGGACAUUUGAUCUAGACUCACAAAUGUGUCAGAGUUCUUCUCCUUACACUUUUCAAAGCCUGUUUUUCCACCUUUGUUCUGUAGACACAAAUCUGAAACCAGUGUAACUUCCUGUUGCUGGAGCAUCAAAGGUAUACAAAUUCAAGAUACAGUAAAAAAAAAUACUGUUCAGACUUGUUUCUUGUUUACUUUGAAUGAAAAUAAGAACAUUCAUAUCAUGAAGCUUGACUGAGUGGAACCAGGGUAAGAAUGCCCUAACCAUCAUGACAGUGGUGAUGAAACUGGAAGAUUUUUUACUGGAAGUCAGUGUUUAUUAAGGAGAGCACUAAAUUACUCAGCACAGGUAUUGUUAGAGCAGUCCUGACCAAUAACAUAUUUUUAGUACCAGUGACUCUUGUUGAACUCAUCUCUGUAAUUGUUUUUGAUGAUAGAAUGAAUCAGAGUGCCUUAAAAACAUGGCAAUAAAAUAAAGCCCUAAUUAUGGACCAAGGAACCAUUAAGUCUAAAUCCUAAAAAUUGGCAUUCAGUAUACAAGAUUAAGGAAGCAAAAACCAUGUUAGUUUGGUUACAAAUAUUUACAAAGUAAGGAAAACCAGAUCCUUCAAAUACCUUAAGUAGUUUUGAUUUAAAACGUGCUUAAGACUAGAAAUAUGUCAUCGUGCACUCAGCCAGAAAUGCAUUUUAAUAAAUGAGUCAGGGUUACAAGAAGGAUGAAAGAACUUUUCUUACUGAAUGCAUCCCUGUUGUGGGGCCCAGUCAUGUAGUGUGCUUGGAAGGAGCAACAUGCUGAACGUGAACUGCCAAGGGUUGGUUAAUAAGACAUUUAACCUAUUAUUUUUUCAUGGGACAAAGAGACUUUAGUUCUGUAAGGCAUUUGUAAAAUGGGUUUUCAAAAUGAACCAGGCAAUCCCAGUCUGAUACCCAGCAGACACCCAUUUGG